rnacentral:lncRNA from 1 species
AAAAAUACAAGGAUAGAUGUUCCAUAUAUUCUGAAGCUGAUGCUAUAUUUGUAUCUAUAAUUUUGGCAGGUGUUGAUUAAUUCAGAUCAAGUGUAUUCCAUAAGAGUUUCUAAUUUUGAUUAUGAUAUAUCCAACUGCUACAGGGGCAAGAAGCAUAAACAAUGAGAAAACUGACACAUUAAUAAAAGUACUUACUCUGGCUCCCACUUCCUAAAGACCAGAUCUCGGUUUAGACAAACUCUUUUCAUCCAAAGUGUAUUCUCUGCGUGGCCCCAUAUUCUUCAAAUUUGUUGUUCACUUCAACAAGAUGAGGCAAGGACCUGAGAGCUAUUGUCACGGACCAUCUCAUCUUUUUAUUUGUAUUUUCAAUGUCUGGCACAAUGUCUGGCACAAGAUGUGCAGCCGAUCUCUAAGCCAGGCACCAGACAUUUCCCACAUGCUGUCAGCUGCUCUUAGCCAAUGACCAAGACCUUUCAAUUCCUCUCAAGUUUAUUAAGGAGCCUCCUCCAAAGCAAGAAAAAGAACAAAGAAGCACAACUCUUCUUAAUACAUCUUUUACACCAGCCAAAGUCUAAAAUGGGUAUACACU